rnacentral:rRNA from 1 species
CUACGGGACGCACCAGUGGGGAAUAUUGCACAAUGGGCGCAAGCCUGAUGCAGCCAUGCCGCGUGUAUGAAGAAGGCCUUCGGGUUGUAAAGUACUUUCAGCGGGGAGGAAGGGAGUAAAGUUAAUACCUUUGCUCAUUGACGUUACCCGCAGAAGAAGCACCGGCUAAGUCCGUGCCAGCAGCCGCGGUAAUACGGAGGGUGGCAAGCGUUAAUCGGAAUUACUGGGCGUAAAGCGCACGCAGGCGGUUUGUUAAGUCAGAUGUGAAAUCCCCGGGCUCAACCUGGGAACUGCAUCUGAUACUGGCAAGCUUGAGUCUCGUAGAGGGGGGUAGAAUUCCAGGUGUAGCGGUGAAAUGCGUAGAGAUCUGGAGGAAUACCGUUGGCGAAGGCGGCCCCCUGGACGAAGACUGACGCUCAGGUGCGAAAGCGUGGGGAGCAAACAGGAUUAGAUCCCUAGUAGUC